UUAUCUAUCUACAGGACUUCUUCGUGACGUCCUCUGGAAAACGGAAAUGGGACGAUUACACUUCUCUAGCUGCUGGAGUUUAUUUACUUAGAUUAACUAAGGUCCAGGAGCUAAUGCAGGAGAAGGGGCUUAUGUACAAAAAGUUGAAGCUGGAACUGUUGCUAAAGAUUGCUUACUUGCAACGCUGAGAGCUGAUCCUAAAGCUGGCCUAUUAUGGGUGAACCUUGCAAAUGCAUAUCAAGUGGUCGGUGAUUAUAGGAAUGCAAAGAAGUGCUUGGAGCAGGUAUAUGCUUUUCUUCUGUAAAGUUCCUUAAUCCAUGAACAUUUUCUUAAUGUUAUUGGAGAAAACUGAUAAUUAGGUGUUGAUAUUUAAUGUUAUUAGUAAUAAGUCCUGAUAAGAUUUUGAUCCAUCGUUCAUAGCUCUGGUUACUUGGGUUCAAGAAACAUGAUGGAGCACCUUAUUUUUUUCUCUGCAUCUUUUCCACCUGCUAACUAAGUUGUAUAAGAUGUAGAACUUGGUCAACAUCAUGAUAGUUAUAGCAUUUGUUUAUUUGUGGGAUAUCUGACAAAUGUUAUAUUCUUUCUCUUGUUAUGCAAUAUAGUCCAUUUGGUAUCUAUGCAAUGGAAGGUUUAUGCAUAAAAUUUAUUCCUUAGGCUUGAA